rnacentral:rRNA from 1 species
AACAAGGAUUCCCCUAGUAGCGGCGAGCGAAGCGGGAAGAGCUCAAAUUUAUAAUCUGGCACCUUCGGUGUCCGAGUUGUAAUCUCUAGAAGUGUUUUCCGCGUUGGACCGCACACAAGUCUGUUGGAAUACAGCGGCAUAGUGGUGAAACCCCCGUAUAUGGUGCGGACGCCCAGCGCUUUGUGAUACACUUUCAAUGAGUCGAGUUGUUUGGGAAUGCAGCUCAAAUUGGGUGGUAAAUUCCAUCUAAAGCUAAAUAUUGGCGAGAGACCGAUAGCGAACAAGUACCGUGAGGGAAAGAUGAAAAGCACUUUGGAAAGAGAGUUAACAGUACGUGAAAUUGUUGGAAGGGAAACGCUUGAAGUCAGACUUGCUUGCCGGAGCUUGCUUCGGUUUGCAGGCCAGCAUCAGUUUUCCGGGGUGGAUAAUAACGGUUUGAAGGUAGCAGUCUCGGCUGUGUUAUAGCUUUCCGUUGGAUACAUCCUGGGGGACUGAGGAACGCAGCGUGCUUUUUGCGAAAGACUCGUCUUUUUCACGCUUAGGAUGCUGGUGGAAUGGCUUUAAAC